rnacentral:rRNA from 1 species
GUCUGGUGCCAGCAGCCGCGGUAAUUCCAGCUCCAAUAGCGUAUAUUAAAGUUGUUGCAGUUAAAAAGCUCGUAGUUGAACCUUGGGCCUGGUUGGCCGGUCCGCCUCACCGCGUGCACUGGUCCGACCGGGUCUUUCCUUCUGGGGAGCCGCAUGCCCUUCACUGGGUGUGUCGGGGAACCAGGACUUUUACUUUGAAAAAAUUAGAGUGUUCAAAGCAGGCCUAUGCUCGAAUACAUUAGCAUGGAAUAAUAGAAUAGGACGUGUGGUUCUAUUUUGUUGGUUUCUAGGACCGCCGUAAUGAUUAAUAGGGAUAGUCGGGGGCAUCAGUAUUCAAUUGUCAGAGGUGAAAUUCUUGGAUUUAUUGAAGACUAACUACUGCGAAAGCAUUUGCCAAGGAUGUUUUCAUUAAUCAGUGAACGAAAGUUAGGGGAUCGAAGACGAUCAGAUACCGUCGUAGUCUUAACCAUAAACUAUGCCGACUAGGGAUCGGGCGAUGUUAUCUUUUUGACUCGCUCGGCACCUCACGAGAAAUGAAAGUCUUUGGGUUCUGG